UGUAAGUCUUAUGAACCACAAUGCCACCUGUUGAUUGGAAAAGGGUGAUCAUGGGAGAGGGGAGGCUCAUUUUAAGCGGUAUCUCCAGGCUUCCACAGAGAAAUGUCACCUUUCCGUGUGUUGAGUAAGCCUAUGAGAAGGAGAGCCCUGUACUUCCUCCAUAUGCACCCCCACGUACUCUCCCUCACUCUCAGCCUCGAGAAAGGUGAGCGAUACUGGUCUGUCAUGAAGGUUACCUGGAUGAGAAACCGAAUAUACAAAGUGACAGGGCUGGACUAUGUAUAACAGUCCAGCUCUACAACCUCUGCAGCAACCAGGCCGGAAAGCCAGCCACAGCCUCUGCAGUCAGCAGCCAAGAACAGUCAGGGCUCUAUUCACAACCGCCAGCUUCCCUGAUUUUUGUACCCCACCCCCAACUCAGGACCUACUGGAGAAAGCCUGCCAAUCGCACAGAUGCCUGCUUCUAGCGGGCUGCCUCCAGCUUCCCCACACCAACAGCCCCCACUCGGGGUGCACCGGAAUCCCUCCUUCUCUUUUUUCACAAUUUGCCUUCCCACUCCUCUGCUUGCCUUUGAGUCUCU
rnacentral:lncRNA from 1 species